UGCUCCACAGGCCUGCUCCACGGGAGUGUUCCACGGGCGUGCUCCACGGGAGUGUUCCACGGGCGUGCUCCACAGGCCUGCUCCACGGGCGUGUUCCACGGGCGUGUUCCACAGGCCUGCUCCACAGGCCCAGCUCCCGCCGCCACGGGGGCCGGGCACGGCUGAGCGGGGAUCCUGCAGGACCUGCGGCAGCCUGGACAGGGUCGCUGCGGGGCUUGCGGCGGUGGGCUGGGUAGGAGGACUGCCUCUACUUUCUUUUGUCUGCAACAGUUAUCAUCUCCAUGGUUUCAAGCCUGACACCCAAGUGCCUUUCUAAGAGCUGACUGUAUAUUCCCCAUCUUUCUCUGGAAUGGUGGGGUAUUAGGGGCUUUUCCACAAGACUUCAUGCUUCAGCUUUCUGGAGCGUUGAAGCUUGGGUGGCAUUUGUGAUGACAUUUCUUCAAGCAACUUUGGAGAAUCAACCCAAUAGCUCAUUUCAGAUUACUUCAUGGAUCAUCAUCAGCCAUCACUAGCCACUGUGCUAAUCUGAAGGAGAGCUCAGAGGGAUCUUGGAAGAAUCUCAUGGGAACAGGCCCUGAAGUGAAGACAGAUCCAAGAGCAUUUGUUGAUAUUCAAGCACCACCUCUGAGCUCAGGAAUGAUGCAUCCUAAUGGACAAGACAUUAGGCAAAGACUGAAAGAGACCUGUGUGGAUGAAUAAAGACCUCCUGUCAGUAAGCAGAAAAUACCCAGGAGAUGGAGGCAGGCUCAGACCACUUGGAAUGAAUAUAAAGAGGUUGGCAGG